CGCAAAUUACCCAAUCCUGACUCAGGGAGGUAGUGACAAGAAAUAACAACACUGGAAAUUUUAUUUCUAGUGAUUGGAAUGAUGGGAAUUUAAACCCCUUUCAGAGUAACAAUUGGAGGGCAAGUCUGGUGCCAGCAGCCGCGGUAAUUCCAGCUCCAAUAGCGUAUAUUAAAGUUGUUGCAGUUAAAAAGCUCGUAGUUGGAUGUCUGCUGGAAGCAAUCAGUCCGCCCUAUUUGUGGGGUGUGCACUUGAUGAAUUCUGGCAUUUUUGUCCCAAUAUUAUGAUGUAGAAUGUGGGACACAGAGUGUUAUUGGGCGAAAGUUCAAUAGCAUGUCUGUGUUCCGAUUCUUAUUAUAUUGGGAUACUGUUACUUUGAGAAAAUUAGAGUGUUUGAAGCAGGCUUUGAAUUGCCUUGAAUACUGCAGCAUGGAAUAACAAUAUAGGAUUUCGGUUCUAUUUUGUUGGUUUCUAGGACUGAAAUAAUGAUUAAUAGGGACAGUUGGGGGCAUUCGUAUUUAACUGUCAGAGGUGAAAUUCUUAGAUUUGUUAAAGACGAACUACUGCGAAAGCAUUUGCCAAAGAUGUUUUCAUUAAUCAAGAACGAAAGUUAGGGGCUCGAAGACGAU
rnacentral:rRNA from 1 species